rnacentral:rRNA from 1 species
UACAGAGGAUGCAAGCGUUAAUCGGAAUUACUGGGCGUAAAGUGUGCGCAGGCGGCUUCGCAAGUCGAGUGUGAAAUCCCCGAGCUUAACUUGGGAAUUGCGCUCGAAACUACGGAGCUGGAGUGUGGCAGAGGAAGGUGGAAUUCCACGUGUAGCGGUGAAAUGCGUAGAGAUGUGGAGGAACACCGAUGGCGAAGGCAGCCUUCUGGGCCAACACUGGCGCUCAUGCACGAAAGCGUGGGGAGCAAACAGG